rnacentral:rRNA from 1 species
UACGGAGGGGGCUAGCGUUGUUCGGAAUUACUGGGCGUAAAGCGCACGUAGGCGGCUUUGUAAGUUAGAGGUGAAAGCCUGGUGCUCAACACCAGAACUGCCUUUAAGACUGCAUCGCUUGAAUCAUGGAGAGGCGGGUGGUAUUCCGAGUGUAGAGGUGAAAUUCGUAGAUAUUCGGAAGAACACCAGUGGCGAAGGCGGCCCGCUGGACAUGUAUUGACGCUGAGGUGCGAAAGCGUGGGGAGCAAACAGG